GAUACUUACCUUACUGAAGUAUCCGCCUGAGAACUACGAGCACAAACGCUUAAAACUCUAAGGACUUGGCGGUGCUCCAAACCCACCUAGAGGAGCCUGUUCUAUAAUCGAUAACCCACGAUAAACCCAACCGCUCUUUGCCAAAGCAGCCUACAUACCGCCGUCGCCAGCUCACCUUUCCUGAAAGUAUAACAGUGAGCACAAUAGCCCCCAGCAUCGCUAGCAAGACAGGUCAAGGUAUAGCCUAUAGGGCGGAAGAAAUGGGCUACAUUUUCUAGAGUAGAAAACUUUACGAAAAGGGGUAUGAAAUUACCCCUGGAAGGCGGAUUUAGCAGUAAAGCGGGAUAAUAAAUGCCCUCUUUAAGCUGGCCCUGGAG
rnacentral:rRNA from 1 species